GCGGCUGUGGCGUAAUUGGUAGCCGCGCCAGACUUAGGAUCUGGUGGAGAAAUCCGUAAGGGUUCGAGUCCCUUCAGCCGCA
rnacentral:tRNA from 1 species